GGAGAUGUGGCUCAGAAGGAAAGUCUCUGCCUUGCAAGCAGAAGGCCCCAGGUUCAAUCCUUGACAUUUCCA
rnacentral:tRNA from 1 species